rnacentral:lncRNA from 1 species
GAUAACUGUAUCAAACAUGGGGGCGGCAGACGCUGCAAGUUUGAAGGGUGCAGUGCGAGCGCAAAAUGGGGGGUGGAUUUCUGCUCUGCACACAGGAAGGGCAUGCUGGGCGGGAAUGAUACUGCAGAUGGAGCACCAAAGCCGAAACGUCGGGCCAAGAAGUCUGCUGGGACGAAGAAGGCUGAGAAGGCCAAGAGGGCAAAGAAGACGGUUGUUGGUCCAGCUGGUCUCUCCGGCGAGGAUGCUACCAUGCCCGCUGUACUUUCUGCCGACAUGCCCGAGAUGGGCGCUAUCCAUGUCGCCACCCACGUUUCGGACCGUCCCAAAUCACCUGAGACCGCUAUAGCGCUUCAACAGCCGCCGGUUCAGCUUCAACAACCACCGCCGCUUCAAUCCCUGGAACCAUCUGGAUUGACCGCCUCAACAGAGGAGGGUCUGCCAGUAGCAGGUAGUGUAUUCUUUGGUUUAUAGAAAUGAUAUACUGUUCCAUGAAGAUGAAGGUGUCUGCAUAGAGUUGUCAAACUAAACGGUUGAGCGUGUUACAAAGUGUUGUCCUGCGGAUCUUAGGAGAUUAGUGAUCCAGUGUCCAUAUGAACAUGAGUUCUGUGAGUUGACUGUAAACGGUUGACCGAGUUCUGUGAGUUGACUUAAAGUAUAACUGCACAUUGUGGUUUACGUUUGGUUCGUCUGUUAUCUGCUCGUUGGUCUUUUUCUGUAAACAUGGUGAAAGGUGCAGCGGCUCCCGAUAAUCCGAGAGAUGUUCUCGGAUGUGCAGAUUUUCUUCGCUUUGUUUUGAUUACUAGCAAAAGGGCCCGUGCGUUGCAACGGGAGAAAAAAAAUACCACACGCUUUUAAUUUUUUAUAAUCAUUUUAAUUUAUGAAAAUAAUAAGCUAACUAACUAAUGUAGUCAGUCCUAUCCUAUUUUGUUGAGAAAUCAACCCAUCCAUUGUUAAUUUCACCAUGAUGAGAAAUUGAGCGGGACAAGCAAAGCAAAACAAAGAGACUACGUGAAUUAAUCAAGGUACUGUUAUCUUAUUUCACUCAUGGGGUAGAGAAUGUGGAAUGAGAUGACAAACUGAAGGUGGUGUUCCAUUCUCUCUCUCUACAACAAUGCAAUCUUACAUCACUCAUGGGGUAGAGAAUGUGGGAUGAGAUGACAAACUGAAGGUGGUGUUCCAUUCUCUCUCUCUACAACAAUGCAAUCUUACAUUCAAUACAUUCAUUCAUCAACAAACAAAUUCUCACAAAACAAAAUUUCUUACCGGUGCUUGGCACACGGUUGGAGGCAUGCGGAGGGGAUCUCACCAGAAGAUGAGUUCCUGCCGGAGGAGGGGAUACGAUGAGGGGAGCAAGGGUUAGGCGCCUCUAUCUGGCCAUAAGGAGUCGCCGUUGCCGCGCCAUAACCUCGGAGUUCCCCGUGUGAGCCAUGGAGGUCCACCUCCACCUGCAAGUACUUCGCUCCGCCGCACCUUAUCCGCGCGUCGCUGCCGUUUUGCAUCGAGCAGACACAUCAUCCAAGUCGUUGUAGCUGUCGCGUUGAUUUGAUCCAGAAGCUGUGCUCGAGCGCUGAAAUAGGGACAGCAAGCGGGCAGAGGUACGACCGCGGAGGCGGGCGGGUUGAGAUCGACAGCAGUGGUGGUUGAGGUCGGCCGCGGCGGCAAGUGGUGUGGCAGCGGCCUGGGCACAGGCCAGGGUGGACCAGGGUGGACGCGGUGCGCUUGAGCGCCGCAACGGGGGCAGUGAGCGGGGAGAGGUACAACCGCGGAGGCGGGUGGGUUGAGAUCGGCAACGGUGGCGGUUGAGGUCGGCCGUAGCGGCGAGUGGUGUGGCGGCAGCCUGGUCACAGGCCAGGGUGGCCCAGGGUCGACGGGAGGAGGCGAUGCGUACGGGUAUAAUUUUUACAGCGAAUCAUUUUUUUCUUUUGUGUUGUAGAUAAAUGAUGGAACGCGGGUUGAAUAACAAAAAUUACAAAAGAUUUUUUAUAAAAAUGCCGUGGUGGGUUUUCCGACGAAAGCAAUAGCCGCUUUAUUAUUAGGUAUAGAUAUAGAUUGCCGCAGGUAUGUAUGGAGUAUCUGCUCCGGGUGGCAGACUGGCAGAUUAUAUUUCUCCAUGAAAACUUGCAAACGUAGAUUUUUUCAAGUUGAAAAUAGAUUUAUAUAUAGUCAUCUAAAAGAAUAGAUUCAUACGUACUACUCCAGUAUAUACUGGGGUCUUAAGAAUUCGCUUCACCGAGCGAGCGACCUCCACAUGCAUCUUGUGCUCGUUACUGUGCCUGUAAAGAAGGCACGGAGUAAGCAGAAACAGAGAAGGGAAGAUGCUCAGCGCUGCAGAUCUUUGAAACUUUUUUUUAAACGGGAUCUUUGAAACUUGGGGCCAAUGCACCGGAGCUGGAUUUUUAUUUUCAAAAGGAGUCAAAAAUUUAACAAACAUGGCCUGCCUAGUGUAUAACUCGUGUAAAAAGUCCGCUAAUGAACAUGGCCUACCUAGUGUGUUACUCGUGUAAAAAGUUUUGCGGUGGUAUCCUCAGUAAAAGAAGAUCGCAAAUAUAAAAAAGAUAACACUUGAAGUUCACCGACGGAUCUUUUCGUUUCAUUCAUUGCUUCGACUACGAGACUGCUGUCCCAAUAGAGCCCAACACACCGCUGUCCUUAUUCCGAUCAACACGUUUCUUCUCAGAGUAAUCUUCUCCAACACAAGGACCGAGUUACAUCAUCCUCUAUGCAAAAAAUGCUUCUGCAACAUUAUUCAUGUUGCAAAGGUCUUUUCACAACAUUAUCUAUGUUACAAAAAGGUAAAGACAUUUUUUUUAUUUUGUUCCACGUGACAUCUGCUCUUGACUCCUCACGACUCCCCUCAAAUUUUAAUGCAACGACACCAAUGUUGGAGACAUAAGCUAUAUUGCAAAAAAGUGAAGUAAAAAGACCCGCAACAAGACCUUAGUUGUAAAAAAAAGUUUUGCAACACAGUCCGUGUUUCAAAAAGGUAAAUGGUGGUUCUGACGUUUUGCAACAAGCAUCAUGUUGCAGGGCUUGUUCUGCAACACCGAUUUUGUUGCAAAAGAAAGGUGGCGCUCGUAGAUGGGUACUCCCUCUUUCCAUCUAUAUAAGGCCUAACCUCAAAUUUUAUUUUUCCAUCUAUAUAAGGCCAAACGAGGUAACCGAUGCGUCUUCCAUUUAAUUCCCUCUCACAGGUUGCGCGCUCCAUUUUUGUUGGCCAAUACAUGAAGUCCUAGAGGAGUUAUUGUUGAGCUGUAUGCAGAAAAGGGAAGAGGAGGUUGCACGCGAGGGAUUAAUCUCGGCACCCAAAAAACUUGCAUGCGAUUUGGUUGGCCAAGUACAAUUCCCAACAUUUCCUCCUCUUUUUAUUCAACAACCUUGGUAUGAGAGAUUCAAAAUUUAGACCCUAUAUAGAUGGAAGGAGGGAGUAGGUUUGAUGGUCAUUCCCGUGUACAUCCAACGACCAACGAGGCGGCGGAUGUUUUCUCGUUCUCCACUGAUCGACGCGUAGCGUGACCCAUAAAAAAAUGUGAAUAAUAACUUCUAUAUAGCAGGAGUAUUGAUUUUGUUUUUUCUGUCUACAAUACCAUGGUAGUCAUUCUUUGAUGAAACUUUUUAUGCGAGUAUUACACUAAGUCAUAUUUGUUAAAAAAGUAACAGAUUUUUUUAACUUCUUAUAUAUUUUUAUGUUUUUUUUUCUCAAUUCGGAUGCAAUGGGACCGGGACCCAUUGGCUAUCUCCCAGAUGCUGAAUAUAUUCAUUGAUUUGGGAGGGCAAAAUGGAUCAAACUGGAGGUGCGGGUUGAGUACAAAAUUUGACGUGUGUCCCAAUAUUUUGUAAAUAAAUGACACCGGAAAUAGGAAAGAGAUGUUAAGGAAGUUAAGUUAGUAUCAAAGUUAUAGGGACCUACUACAUAUGUAAGUCGCGUGAUUUUUGUGUGGCACAAAGUCGGUUACGACAUACGUUUCCUAUUCCACCCGUCAUCUUCAUUUUGAAUUGCUAUCCGAUGCCAGGUCCAACUACCCGUGGCUAGGCCGGUGGCACGUGCGCCUCGCUACCCACCAUGCCCAAAUCACACCCUCCAUCAUGCUAUUGUCACCCAUGCCAUUCCUCUAACCUUUUCCCCAUCAAUACGUACACUUCUUCUCCAACGUCGAUAUCCACGUAUUUCGCUCAUUCCUGGCUCAUCAUCGUCAAGACACCGUAGUCAGCCUUAUCGCCUUCGUUUCGACCUCAGAGCUCUGCGCUACCCCGCCAUUCUUUACCGAGGAAUAUCAAACACCUCGGCCAUUUUCAGAAAAUUUACAAAUAGCAAACACAUAAGUUAUAUAGAUACUUUCGUAAAGUAAAAGUUAUAUGUAUACUCCCUUUCAAAUUCCUUGCCAAAGGAUUGAGAGAGAGUUGCGGCUGAUGAAGACAAGUAGAUGACAUCCAUUGACAGUUCGGGAACUAUUGUUGUUGAAAAUGACAGUUGUUGUUGACAUGACAAUCCUAGCUUGAUGAUAGCUCGGCUCCAUCCUCAUCGCCAACAUGGACACCAACAUAAAAACACGCGAGGGUUGUUUGCUGCCUAGUGGCCCGUCACUGGUGCAUAACCUUUCCUUAAGUACAAAUUUUAUUUCAUAUUUUAAACUUUUCAAAAGGAACACAUCAUGUGUGACUCACGUGCCAACUUACAUGCACCAUGUAGGAACUAUACGACGACCAUAUAAAGUAUAGACCUUAGGCACUUUCGAAAGACAAAAUCAACCCUUGUUUGAUACUACUACCUCCUUUUUGGUUUAUAAGGCUUACACAGAUCUCUAGAUUGAUAAAUAGAUCAACAUAAUAAAAGUUAUAUAUCACAAAAAUAUAUCAUUAGAAACUUCAAAUCGUAUACUUUCUAAUGGUAUAUUUUUUGACUAUACACCACAUCUUAUGUUGGUCAAAUUAUAGAUCUAGGGAUACGCGCAACCCUUAUAAACCGGAAAUGAGGCAGUAGCCUUUUUCACCCCAAAGGGUUUGGAAUGGAGGAUGGAUUUGGUGAUCCCCUCCCUUUCACCCAGUUGCCUUCUCUCAUCAUACCCUUGUCCAUCAAUAUUUUGCCCUAAUACGCUCUUUUUUUUUUCUAGUGUAUUGAUUUCCACUAGAAUCUGAGGUUUUCUACAAGGAAAUAUGGGGAUGAAUUUCCUUGACUCCCGGAUAUUAUUUUCUUCCAACCAGUGAUUUUCGUGCUAAUAUGAUUAAUCAGAUACUAGAAACAAUCAGUUUUAUCCAAACCUACAUCGGCUGGCAAACUUAAAUACUCCCUCUGUUCCUAAAUAUAAGUCUUUUAAGCGAUUUCAAUAUGUGUCUACAUACGGAGCAAAAUGAUUGAAUGUCACUCUAAAGUAUGUCUAUAUACAUCCGUAUGUAGUCUAUUAAUGAAAUCUCUAUAAAGACUUAUAUUUAGGAACAGAGGGAGUAUAUGUCAUUAAGGGCUUCGGUCAUGAUAUUCUGUGUGGUACACAUAAGGGGUUUCUCAAUUUAGACGAAUUAAUUUGUGUAAUAUGGUGUAUAAGAUUAUUGCCAAAAACAUGGCUACUCGUUUGAAGUAUUUUUUUGCCAAAGAUUAUUAGUCCAGCUCAAAGCGCUUUGUGCCUGGAAGAAUGAUUACAAAAUAUCUUUUAUUGGCAUAUGAGUUCUUUUUCUUACUGUAGAUUAGACUUAUUUUUCUUACCUAUUACCCAAGAAAAAGCCACAAAAAAUUAGAUAUAUUAAUCCUUUGUCCAAGAAAGUCCGAGCCUUUGUGAUUUUGUUUUCAGUGCUUGCACGGUUGAAUUAUCGGUUGCAUCGUCGUGUUGAGUUGUUGGUCUUAGUGUCUAAUUCCUUUAGAGCUUUGAAUUCUGUUCACAUUAGUCAUGCCACCUGAUGACGAGGUGAUGUAUAUACUUCUCGCCACUCGUUGGACUCCAAGUGGAAGGUGGAGAUGUAGUUAGCAGCAAAUUUCCCUUACACGGAGACUGUAAGGUUUAUCGAACCAGGAGGACUCCUAGGCUCAACAAGUAGGUGUCUUCCAUCCUGGCGCUAGCAUAAGACGUGGACCUGCACACACAACAAAUAACUUUGCUCCCAACGAGUACAAAGAGGUUUUCAAUCUCUCCGACCUUGUAGUUUGCAAAGGAUCAAAACACAAGCGGGAAGGUAAUAGUGAUUGUAACGGAAAAGUAAAUAAAGCGGUAAAUGACGGAGGUGUAAGCAAUGAUGGUGUUAUGGACCGGAGUCACAUGACGUUCACUAGUGAUGUCUCUCUCCCAAAAGACGAUAAACAACUAUGCUAGGGUAAACAAAUCACAGUUGGGCAAUUAACAGAAUUAUGAUCGCACCGGAAUGUUAAUUAUGCUCCUUGACAGUUAGAGGUUCAAUAGUAAUGGGCAAUACGCCAAGACAAAUAAACCGUUUAUUCAUCAGCAUCUACUUACUAAUCAUCCACCUUGACAUAUCUAUCCAGAACAUCUCUCCGGUAUUAAGUUGCGAGCCCCACCCAAAGUGCAAACUCAAAGCAACGGACAACUGCAUUAACGAACUAUGCGUAAGGUAAACAAUCCUUGGAACCGUGUGUUGGGGAACAUUGCAUGGGAAGCAAAAAAAUUCCUACGCACACGAAGACCUAUCAUGGUGAUGUCCAUCUACGAGAGGAGAUUUGGAUCUACGUACCCUUGUAGAUCGCACAACAGGAAGCGUUAAGAAACGCGGUUGAUGUAGUGGAACGUCUUCACGUCCCUCGAACCGUCCCACGAACCGUCCCGCGAUCCGUCCCACGAUCCGUUCCGAUCUAGUGCCGAACGGACGACACCUCCGCGUUCAGCACACGUACAACUCGACGAUGAUCUCGGCCUUCUUGAUCCAGCAAGCAAGACAGAAAAGUAGAUGAGUUCUCCAGCAGCGUGACAAUGCUCCAGUGGUGGUGAUGAUCUACUCCUGUAGGGCUCCGCCCGAGCUCCGCAGAAAUCCGAUCUAGAGGUAAAACUACGUGGUAUAGGUUUGAGUUGCACGUGGCAAAGUUGUGUCUCAAAUCAGCCCUAAACCACCAAUACAUAUAUAGGAGGGAGGGGAGGGAUAGCCUUGAGGCACAAGGUCUCAAGGUGCGCCGGCCAAGGGAGGAGGAGGACUCCUCCAAUUCGGUUUGGGAAGGAGGAGUCCUCCUAUUCCUUCCCACCUCCCUCUUUCCCUUUUUUUGGUAUUUUCUUAUGUGGCGCCAUGGGCCUCUUGGGCUGACUCCACCAGCCCACUAAGGACUUGUGGCACUACCCUAGUGCCUUGGGAUCACUCCCGGGUGGGUGGGCCACUCCCGGUGAAGUCCCGGAACCCAUUCGUCACUCCCGGUACACUGUCGGAAUUGCCCGAAACUUUCCGGUGACCAAAUGAAACCAUCCUAUAUAUCAAUCUUCGUUUCCGGACCAUUCCGGAAACCCUCGUGACGUCCGUGAUCUCAUCCGGGACUCCGAACAACAUUCGGUAACCACACAUAUAACUCAACUAUACUAAAACAUCAUCGAACCUUAAGUGUGCAGACUCUGCGGGUUCGAGAACUAUGUAGACAUGCCCCGAGGCACUCCUCGGUCAAUAUCCAAUAGAGGGACCUCGAUUCCCAUAUUGGAUCCUACAUAUUCUCCGAAUAUCUUAUCGGUUGAACCUCAGUGCCAAGAAUUCAUAUAAUCCCGUAUGUCAUUCCCUUUGUCCUUCGGUAUGUUACUUGCCUGAGAUUCGAUCAUCGGUAUCCGUAUACCUAUUUCAAUCUCGUUACCGGCAAGUCUCUUUACUCGUUCUGUAAUACAAGAUCCCGUGACUUACACUUAGUCACAUUGCUUGCAAGGCUUGUGUGUGAUGUUGUAUUACCGAGUGGGCCCCGAGAUACCUCUCCGUCACACGGAGUGACAAAUCCGAGUCUUGAUCCAUACUAACUCAACGGACACCUUCGAAGAUACCUGUAGAGCACCUUUAUAGUCACCCAGUUACAUUACGAUGUUUGAUGCACACAAGGUAUUCCUUUGAUGCCAGUGAGUUAUAUGAUCUCAUGGUCAUAGGAAUAAAUACUUGACACGCAGAAAACAAUAGCAAUAAAACGACACGAUCGAUAUGCUACGUUCAUAGUUUGGGUCUAGUCCAUCACAUGAUUCUCCUAAUGGUGUGAUCUAGUUAUCAAGUGACAACACUUGCACAUAGCCAGAAAACCUUGACUAUCUUUGAUCAACUGGCUAGCCAACUAGAGGCAUGCUAGGGACAUUGUUUUGUCUAUGUAUCCACACAUGUAUCUAUGUUUUCAUUCAGUACAAUUAUAGCAUGGAUAAUAAAUGAUUAUCACAAACAAAGAAAUAUAAUAAUAACUAAUUUAUUAUUGCCUCCAGGGCAUAUUUCCAACAGUCUUCCACUUGCACUAGAGUCAAUAAUCUAGUUCACAUCACCAUGUGAUUUUAACGAAUCUAACACCCAUAUAGUUCUGGGGUUUUAUCACGUCUUGCUCGUGAGAGAGGUUUUAGUGAACGGCUCUGAAUCUUUUAGAUCUGUGUGUGCUUUACAAAUCUUUAUGUCAUCUUCUAGAUGCUGCUACUACAUGCUAUUCAGAAAUACUCCAAAUAUCUACUCUACUAUACGAAUCCGUUUUACUACUCAGAGUUAUUCGGAUUAGUGUCAAAGCUUGCAUGCNNNNNNNNNNNNNNNNNNNNNNNNNNNNNNNNNNNNNNNNNNNNNNNNNNNNNNNNNNNNNNNNNNNNNNNNNNNNNNNNNNNNNNNNNNNNNNNNNNNNGAUGUUGCUACUACUUUGCCAUGCUUAAUGCUUGUCACUAGGGCCCGAGUGCCAUGAUUUCAGAUCUGAACCUAUUAUGUUGUCGCCAAUUUAUGUGUGUUUUAGAUCCUAUCUUGCAAGUUGUAGUCACCUACUAUGUGUUAUGACCCGGCAACCCCGGAGUGACAAUAGCCGGAACCACUCCCGGAGAUGACCAUAGUAUGAGGAUUUCAUGUAUUCACCAAGUGUUAAUGCGUUGGUCCGGUUCUUUAUUAAAAGGAGAACCUUAAUAUCCCGUAGUUUCCAUAAGGACCCCGCUGCCACGGGAGGGAUGGACAAUAGAUGUCAUGCAAGUUCUUUUCCCUAAGCACGUAUGACUACAUACGGAAUACAUGCCUGCAUUAGAUUGACGAACGGGAGCUAGUUACUUAUCUCUCCGUGUUAUAACUGUUACAUGAUGAAUAGCAUCUGACAUAAUCAUCCAUCACCGAUCCAAUGCCUACGAGUUUUUCCUACUGGUCCUUGCUAUGUUACUUUGCUGCUACUGCUGUCACUGCUGCUACUGUUACUCUGUUGCUACUGCUGUCACUUUGCUGCUACUGGUUACUGUUGCUACUGCUGCUAUCAUACUACCUUGCUAUUGAUACUUUGAUGCAGAUAUUAAAUCUUUCAGGUGUGGUUGAAUUGACAACUCAACUGCUAAUACUUGAGAAUAUUCUUUCGCUUCCCCUUGAGUCNNNNNNNNNNNNNNNNNNNNNNNNNNNNNNNNNNNNNNNNNNNNNNNNNNNNNNNNNNNNNNNNNNNNNNNNNNNNNNNNNNNNNNNNNNNNNNNNNNNNUGUGUCGUCCGUUGGCGUACGUUCCUUUACUUUAUUUUUUUCUUAUUUUUGUGUCAUAGACUAUGUUAUUUUUCGCUAUUAGUUAAUUAAUUAUUUGGUUUUUUGUUAGUUUAAAGUUARUURGUGUUUGUGCCAAGUAAACCUUUGGUAUGGCUUGGAUAAUAGUAGAAUAUAUGCGGUGCAAAAACAGAAACUUUAGCGUCGAGUGCAGAAUUUCUCUAAUUUUACUAGAACGUCUUUUGAUCUAAAUAUCUUACACGAUAUUUAUAUACAAAUUUCCGAGGUUGUCCUAAUAUUUUUUGAAAAAUAACUUACAUAAGUAUGUUAAUUAACUGUAACAUUACAAGUUGUUUUGUUUUAGAUAGAUUCUAUUUUUGCAUGCAUAGUUUGCUUGUUUUGAUGGUGCUAUGGAUUAUAUCGGGGUGUAUAAGUCACGGAUAAGUUAGAAUACAAUACCUUACGAAAUAAUAAAAUAUGAAUAAAUUUCUAAUAGUACUAAAAGUAUUUGAUAUGUUUAUUACACUAAGGGAUCUCAUGAAGUUUCUGUUGAGUUUUGUGUGCUGAAGUUGUAAGUUUUGGGUGUUAUAGUGAUGGACGAAGGAAUAAGAAGAAGCAAGAGCCUAAGCAUGGGAUGUGAUAACCCACAAGUAUAGGGGGUCGCAACAGUUUUCGAGGGUACAUUAUUCAACCCAAAUUUAAUGAUUCGACACAAGGGGGCCAAAUAAUAUUCUCGAGUAUUAGCAGCUGAGUUGUCAAUUCGACCACACAUGAAAGACUUAAUAUCUGCAAGAAAGUAUUUAGUAGCAAAGUAGUAUGGAAGUAACAGUAAAGGUGGCAAAUGUAACAGUAGCAGUUUUGUAGUGAUUGUAACAAUAGCAACGGAACGGUAACUUAGAAAAGACCAAUAUGUGGAAAGCUCGUAGACAAUGGAUGAGUGAUGGAUAAUUAUGUCGGAUGGCAUUCAUCAUGCAACAGUCAUAACAUAGGGUGAUACAUAACUAGCUCCAAUUCAUCAAUGUAAUGUAGGCAUGUAUUCAUAUAUAGUCAUACGUGCUUAUGGAAAAGAACUUGCAUGACAUCUUUUUUCCUACCCUCCCGUGGCAGCGGGGUCCUAAUGGAAACUAAGGGAUGUUAAGGCCUCCUUUUAAUAGAGAACCAGACCAAAGCAUUAACACUUAGUGAAUACAUGAACUCCUCAAACUACGGUAAUCACCGGAAGGAAUCCCAAUUAUUGUCACCCUCGGGGAUGAGGAUCAUAACUCGUAAUAGGUGUCUAUAACUUGCAAGAUAGGAUCAAGAACACAUAUAUAUUCAUGAAAACAUAAUAGGUUCAGAUCUGAAAUCAUGGCACUCGGGCCCUAGUGACAACCAUUAAGCAUAGCAAAAUCAUAGCAACAUCAAUAUAAGAACAUAUUGGACACUAGGGAUCAAACCCUAACAAAACUAACUCGAUUACAUGAUAGAUCUCAUCCAACCCAUCCGUGUCCAGCAAGCCUACGAUGGAAUUACGCACGAACGACGAAGAGCAUCAUGAAAUUGGUGAUGAAGGAUGGUUGGUGAUGACAACGGCGUCGAUUUCCCCUCUCUGGAGCCCAAAUGAGACUCCAGAUCUGCCCUCCCAAGGAAGAACGUGAGGUGGCGGCGUCUCCAUAUCGUAAAGCGUGAUGAACUCUUCUCCUUGAUUUUUUUCUCCCCACAUAGGAAUAAAUAGGAGUGGAAACGAGGUCGAUGGUGCUACACGGAACCCACAAGCCACAAGCGCGACCUAGGGGGCGCCCUAUGGGCUUGUGGCCACAUGGUGGCCCCCCUUCGGUUGAUUCUUUCACCAAUAUUUUUUAUUAGUUCCAGAAACGUUCUCUGUAAAUUUUUAGGUCAAUCCGAGAACUUUUAUUUCGCACAAAAAUAACACCAAGGCAAUUCUGCUGAAAACAGCAUGAGUCUGUGUUAGUUCAAUUCAAAUCAUGCAAAUAAGAGUCCAAAACAAGGGCAAAAGACUUUGGAAAAGUAGAUACAUUGGAGACGUAUCAACUCCCCCAAGCUUAAACAUUUGCUUGUCCUCAAGCAAUUCAGUUGAUAAACUGAAAGUGAUAAAGAAAACCUUUUGCAAACUCUGUUUGAUAUUGUUGUUGUAAAUAUGUCUAACUUAUGUUCAGAUCUUCAGCUAAGAUUAUAGACUAACCACAUUCACAAUAACAUUUAGGUCUCAUAUUUACUUAUAUCAAUGGCAUAAUCAACUAGCAAGAAAUAAUAAUAAAUCUCAAAUGACAACAAUUUUAUCAAAACAAGCAUAAUACAAUAUGAUAAACUGGUAUCUGAUACGUCUCCAUCGUAUCUACUUUUCAAAACUCUUUUACCCUUGUUUUGGACUCUAAUUUGCAUGAUUUGAAUGGAACUAACCCGGACUGACGAUGUUUUCAGUAGAAUUGCCAUGGUGUUGUUUUUGUGCAGAAAUGAAAGUUCUCGGAACGUCCUGAAAACUUACGGAGAAUAUUUCUGGAAAAUAUGAAAAAUACCUGCGCAAAGAUCCACCGGAGGGGACGGGCCAGUGGGCCACAAGCCCUCUAGCCGCGGCCUCCCCCCUGGCCUCGGCUACCAGGCUUGUGGGGCCCACGUGGCUCUGCCGCCCCCAAUUCCAGCGCUACUUAUUCCCUUUAGUCCCGGAAAAAAAUAGAGAGAGAAGAGUUCAUCGCGUUUCACGAUCCAGAGGCGCCGCCACUUCCCGUUCUUGCCCUAGAGGGCUGAUCUGGAGUCCGUUUUGGGCUCCGGAUCAAGGAGAUCGUCGCCAUCGUCAUCAUCAACCUUCUUCCCUCUCCAAUUCCAUGAAGCUCUUCAUCUUUCAUGAGUAAUCUAUUCAUAGGAUCGCUCGACGGUAAUGAGUAGGAUGAGAUCUAUCAUGUAAUCGAGUUAGUUUUGACGGGGAUUGAUCCCUAGUAUGCACUAUGUUCUGAGAUUGAUGUUGCUACUACUUUGCCAUGCUUAAUGCUUGUCACUAGGGCCCGAGUGCCAUGAAUUCAGAUCUGAAAUUAUUAUGUUGUCACCAAUAUAUGUGUGUUUUAGAUCCGAUCUUGCAAGUUGUAGUUACCUACUAUGUGUUAUGAUCCGGCAACCCCGGAGUGACAAUAACCGAAACCACUCCCGGUGAUGACCAUAGUUUGAGGAGUUCAUGUGUUCACCAAGUGCUAAUGUGUUGGUCCGGUNNNNNNNNNNNNNNNNNNNNNNNNNNNNNNNNNNNNNNNNNNNNNNNNNNNNNNNNNNNNNNNNNNNNNNNNNNNNNNNNNNNNNNNNNNNNNNNNNNNNAGUUCCACGCUUAAAUCGAAAACAUAACUGUAAAACAAGACUCCCCCGGAUUGAUGUUAGUAUGGACGGUACCCGAGGAUUCGGCUAGCCGUGGAGUGUGAUUGAUUGGUGGUGGGGGAGUUAAAACUUUACUUUUCUGUUUGGGAACCGCCUAUAGCAUGAGUAGCAUGGAAGAUAUUGAGAACUCUUGGUCAUUGUGUUGACAAUGAAAGCAUGCCACCCAAAAUUAUUAUCUCUGUUUUCAAAGCUUGAGCUCUGGCACCUCUGCAAAUCAAUGCUUCCCUCUGCGAAGGGCUUGUCUAUUUAUUUUCCAAUUGAGUCAUCCUCUUCUUAUAUAAGCACCAAUUAGAGAGCACCUAUGUCAUGUUUAUGCUUUUCUUUUGAUUGAUAUUGAGUAUGACUAUGACUGGAUCUUCAUUGCUAUGAAUUACAAUGUUUAGUCAGCCCUUGAUCUUUGAAAGUGCUCUGCAUUUAUGUUUUUCGGUCUCAGAAAGAGCUAGCGAGAUACCACCUAUUCAUAUGGCUUCAUGCUUGUUUUGAUUGAAUUGUUGGUAUCUGAAACUCAUUAUUAUUUGCUCGCAAGCUGUUUAUGCCAUUGAUAUUAGUUUACCGUGAGACCUAUGUGUCACUUGCUUAUGUGGUUAACUUGUGAUCUUGCUGAAAUUCUGGUUAUGAGUUAGACAUAGUUGCAACAACAAGAUCAAACAGANNNNNNNNNNNNNNNNNNNNNNNNNNNNNNNNNNNNNNNNNNNNNNNNNNNNNNNNNNNNNNNNNNNNNNNNNNNNNNNNNNNNNNNNNNNNNNNNNNNNUAGAGUUUGUCAAAGUUUUUCUUUCUCUCUCAGUUUGUCAACUGAGUUGCUUGAGGACAAGCAAGGUUUUAAGCUUGGGGGACUUGAUACGUCUCCAUCGUAUCUACUUUUCCAAACUCUUUUGCCCUUGUUUUCUACUCUAAUUUGCAUGAUUUGAAUGGAACUAACCUGGACUGACGCUGUUUUCAGCAGAAUUGCCUUGGUGUUGUUUUUUGUGCAGAAAUGGAAGUUCUCAGAACGUAUGUGCGCAAAGAUCCACCAGAGGGGAUGGGCCAGUGGGCCACAAGCCCUGUAGCCGCCACCCCCCUGGUGGCGGCUAGCAAGCUUGUGGGGCCCACGUGGAUCUGCAGCCCCCAAUCUCAACUCUAUAAAUUCACUUUUGUCCCAGAAAGAGUAAAGAGAGAAGAUUUUGUCGCGUUUGCGAUAUGGAGGCGCCGCCACAUCCUGUUCUUCAUCUCGAGGGCAGAUCUGGACUCUGUUAUGGGCUCCGGAGAGGGGAAAUCGUCGCCAUCGUCAUCAUCAACCUUCUUCCCUCUCCAUUUCCAUGAAGCUCUUCGUCAUUUGUGAGUAAUCUAUUCGUAGGCUCGCUGGGCGGUGAUGAGUAGGAUGAGAUCUAUCAUGUAAUCGACUUAGUUUUGACGGGGACUGAUCCCUAGUAUCCACUAUGUUCUGAGAUUGAUGUUGCUACUACUUUGCCAUGCUUAAUGCUUGUCACUAAGGCCCGAGUGCCAUGAUUUCAGAUCUGAAAUUAUUAUGUUGUCACCAAUAUAUGUGUGUUUUAGAUCCGAUCUUGCAAGUUGUAGUUACCUACUAUGUGUUAUGACCCGGCAACCCCGGAGUGACAAUAACCGGAACCACUCCCGGUGAUGACCAUAGUUUGAGGAGUUCAUGUGUUCACCAAGUGCUAAUGUGUUGGUCCGGUUCUUUAUUAAAAGGAGAACCUUAAUAUCUCGUAGUUUCCUUUUGGACCCCGCUGCCACGGGAGGGAUGGACAAUAGAUGCCAUGCAAGUUCUUUUCCCUAAGCACGUAUGAUGACACACGGAAUGCAUGGCUACAUCACAUUGACGAACGGGAGCUUGCCACAUAUCUCUCCGUGUUAUAACUGUUGCAUGAUGAAUAUCAUCCAAAAAAAUCACCGACCCAUUGCCUACGAGUUUGUCCCACUGCUACUGUUACUUGUCUUGCUCUGCUGUUGUUGCUACUGUUGCUCCUUGCUACUGCUGUUACUUGCUACUGUUGCUACUUGCUACUGUUGUCACUACUGUUGUUCCUUGCCACUGCUGCUACUCGUUACACUGCUGCUACCUGCUACAAUUUUGGUUCGUUGGUCGUUGACGGGAAAAGACAAUUUCCGUCAACGGGCAACUUUUGGCGCCAUUGAUACAAUCGUUAGGAAUAGUCUGCCGCCAACAGAUCGUUUCUAACACCGUUGUUAUUAUACUACUUUCCUGCUGACACUUUGCUUGUAGAUACUAAUCUUUCAGGUGUGGUUGAAUCUGACACAUUCAGCUGCUAAUACUUGAGAGUAUCCUCUCACCUCCUAUCGGCGAAUCAACAAAUUGGGUUGAAUACUCUACCCUCGAAAACUGCCUCGAUCCCACGCGCUGGUGGGUAAUUGCAAGACAAUUUCUAAUUGUUGAGCAAUCGAGAACAGCAUUCGUCUAGCUAUUGCCAGAGAGUGCUAGUCAGGCCCCACGUGGGACCCACAAGCCAGGGGAUGCGCCCAGGGAGUGGUUGCACCCUGCAGGCUCGUGGCCCACUGGUGCAUCCCCCUAGUGUGUUCUUAGCACCAAAAAUUCUUAAACAUUCUAGAAAAAAUCGUACUAAUUUUUCAGGGAGUUCUGAGAACUUUUAUUUUUCAGGUCAUUUUUCUAUUGCACGGAUAAAAUGAAAAACAGAGAAAUAAUAACAUUUUUACUAAAUUGAAACUAAGGAACAAAAAAUUAAAGUUGGGUAGAGAAGGUUGUGCUUUCUAAAUUCACCCAUCUCAUGCCCGCCAAAAAGAAUCCAUCAAUAAGGUUGAUCAAGUCUUAUGGACAAACUUUUUUGAAUGACAUGGAACCGAAGAAAUUUCGAAUAACACUAGGUUACCUCAAUGGGGAUAUGCAUGUCCCCAACAAUAAGUAUCUCAUAUUUAUUUUUGACUGUAGGAAGAGGGAAUUCAAAGUCUCCAAUAGUGAAUGUUCGAAUUUUUUCAAUGGAGUUGAUGCUAUGAACUUGAGACUGUUUGUUCGGAAAGUCUAUCGUAUGCUCAUUACCAUUAACAUGAAAAGUGACAUUGCCUUUGUUGCAAUCAAUAACAGCCCCUGCAUUAUUCAGAAAGGGUCUACCAAGGAUGAUCGACAAACUAUCGUCCUCGGGAAUAUCAGGCAUAACAAAGUUCGUUAAGAUAGUAACGUUUGCAACCACAACAGGCACAUCCUCACAAAUAUCGAUAGGUAAAGCAGUUGAUUUAUUAGCCAUUUGAAGAGAGAUUUUAGUAGGUGUCAACUUAUUCAAGUCAAGUCUAUGAUAUAAAGAGAACGACAUAACACUAACACCAGCUCCAAGGUCACAUAAAGUAGUACUAACAUAAUUUCCUUUAAUGGAGCAUGGUAUAGUAGGUACUCCAUGAUCUCCUAAUUUCUUAGGUAUUCCACCCUUAAAAGUGUAAUUAGCAAGCAUGGUGAAGAACUCAGCUUCUGGGAUUUUUCUUUUAUUAGUAACAAUAUCUUUCAUGUACUUAGCAUAAGGAGGCAUUUUCAGAAUAUCAGUUAAGCGCAUACGUAAGAAAACAUGUCUCAGCAUUUCAGCAAAGCGCUCAAAAUCAUCAUCAUUUUCCUUGGAUGGUUUAGGAGGAAAGUGCAUGGGUUUUUGAACCGAUGGUUCUCUUUCCCUGCCAUGCUUCCUAGAAAUAAAAUCUCUUUUAUCAUAUCCCUUAUUCUUAGCUUGUGGGUUAUCAAGAUCAACAACAUGUUCAAUCUCCACAUCAUUGUCAUUACUAGGUUAAGCAUCGACAUGAACAUCAUUAUUAAUAUUAUCACUAGGUUCAUGUUCAUUACGAGAUUGUGUCUUAGCAUCAGAAAUAGAUAUAUGAUUUGGGUUUUCAUGUGACUCUAUAUCUGGUUCACUAGCAGCAUGCAAAGUCCUAUCAUCAUUCUUUUUUUAUUAGAAGGACCAGGUACAUCAAUAUUAACUUUCCGAGAUUCUUGCUCAAUUCUCUUAGUUAGCCCUCAGGAUACAAAGGUUCCUGAGUCAUUCUACCAUCUCUAGUCACAACUCUAACAGAAUGAUCAUUGUUCUUACUAAUCAUCUCAUUGAGCAAAUCAUUUUGUGCUUUAAGUACCUGUUCUACUUGAGUAGUUAUCAUGGAAUCAUGUUUACUAAUAAGCCUAAGGUCAUUAAUAGUUCUACUCAUAUAGUCACACAAGCGAUCAAGCAUGUAAGCAUUAUGUUUCAAUUGUCUACUAACAUAAGCAUUGAAAUUUUCUUGUUUAGCAACAAAGAUUUUAGAAUGUUAGAAUGCAUACAAAUUACUAACAAGUUUGCUACUUCACCUAUCUGUGUUAUUGAUAAGGAUUAGAAUGCAUAGCAAUUUCUUAAGAUCAUCUCUAUCCUUACAACCAAGAAAGUCCCUAGCUACUUCUCCUUCCAUAACAUAACCCUUAGGUAUAUUAGGCAAUUCAUAUCUAGGAGAUCUAGGUCUAGUAGGUGCAUCAUGAUGUUCAGUUUCAAUAAUUUCAUCAGAUUCAGAAAUAUCAUCAGUUUCAGCAUUCACUCUAGCAAUUUGUUCAUCAAGAAAUUCACAAGUGGCACAAUAGUAUCAAGAAAAUUAUCCUCAUAAGCAUCAUGCACAGCAUAAGUAGCAUCAUAAAUUACUUGCAACAUAUCAGAUUCAAUAGCAGGUGGUGGUGUUGCAAAUUUACUCAUAACAGACGGUGAAUCAAGUGCAGAGCUAGAUGGCAGUUCCUUACAUGCCCUCGUAGUUGAGGGGUAGAUCUUGGUUUUAGCGUCUUUCAGAUUCUUCAUAGUGACCAAUUCCAAGUGACUCGGAGAAUAAAGCUAUGCUCCCCGGCAACAGCGCCAGAAAAAGGUCGUGAUAACCCAGAAGUAUAGGGGAUCGCAACAGUUUUCGAGGGUAGAAUACUCAACCCAAGUUUAUUGGUUCGACACAAGGGGAGCCAAAGAAUAUUCCCGAGUAUUAGCAGCUGAGUUGUCAAUACAACCACACCUAAAAGACUUAAUAUCUGCAGGAAAGUAUUUAGAAGUAAAGUAGUAUGGAAGUAACGAUAACGGUGGCAAACGUAAUAGUAACAGUUUUGUAGUAAUUGUAACAAUGGCAACGGAAAAUUAACUUAGGAAAGACCAAUAUGUGGAAAGCUCGUAGGCAAUGGAUGAGUGAUGGAUAAUUAUGUCGGAUGGCAUUCAUCAUGCAACAGUCUUAAUAUAGGGUGAUACAAAACUAGCUCCAAUUCAUCAAUGUAAUGUAGGCAUGUAUUCCAUAUAUAGUCAUACGUGCUUAUGUAAAAGAACUUGCAUGACAUAUUUUGUCCUACCCUCCCGUGGCAGCGGGGUCCUAAUGGAAACUAAGGGAUAUUAAGGCCUCCUUUUAAUAGAGAACCGGACCAAAGCAUUAACACUUAGUGAAUACAUGAACUCCUCAAACUACGGCAAUCACCGGAAGGAAUCCCAUUUAUUGUCACCGUGGGGGAUGCAGAUCAUAAGUCGUAAUAGGUGUCUAUAACUUGCAAGAUAGGAUCAAGAACACAUAUAUAUUCAUGAAAACAUAAUAGGUUCAGAUCUGAAAUCAUGGCACUCGGGCCCUAGUGACAAGCAUUAAGCAUACCAAAGUCAUAGCAACAUCAAUCUCAGAACAUAAUGGAUACUAGGGAUCAAACCCUAACAAAACUAACUCGAUUACAUGAUAGAUCUCAUGCAACCCAUCCCUGUCCAGCAAGCCUAUGAUGGAAUUACUCACGAACGACGAAGAGCAUCAUGAAAUUGGUGAUGAAUGAUGGUUGGUGAUGAUGACGGCGUUGAUUUCCCCUCUCUGGAGCCCAAAUCAGACUCCAGAUCUGCACUCCCGAGGAAGAACAGGUGGUGGCAGCGGUUCCGUAUCAUUAAACGCGAUGAACUCUUCUCCUUGAUUUUUUUUCUCCCUCGAUAAGAAUAUAUAGGAGCGGAAACGAGGUCGGUGGAGCUACAGCGGCCCCACAAGCCAGGGCGCGCGACCUAGGGGGCCUGCAGGCUUGUGGCCAGGUGGUGGCCCCCCUUCGGUUGAUUCUUUCGCCCAUAUUUUUUAUUAAUUCCAAAAAAAUUCUCCGUAAAUUUUCAGGUCAAUCCAAAAAAAUUUAUUUCUGCAUAAAAAUAACACCAAGGCAAUUCUGGUGAAAACAAUGUUAGUUCGGGUUAGUUCCAUCCAAAUCAUGCAAAUUAGAGUCCAAAACAAGGGCAAAAGAGUUUGGAAAAGUAGAUACGUUGGAGACGUAUCAACUCCCCCAAGCUUAAAUCUUUGCUUGUCCUCAAGCAAUUCAGUUGAUAAACUGAAAGUGAUAAAGAAAAAAAUUACAAACUCUGUUUGACCUUGUUGUUGUAAAUAUGUCUAACUUAUUUCAGAUCAUCAGCUAAGAUUAUAGACUAACCACAUUCACAAUAACAUUUAGGUCUCAUAUUUACUUAUAUCAAUGGCAUAAUCAACUAUCGAGCAAUAAUAAUAAAUCUCAGAUGACAACAAUUUUAUCAAAACAAGCAUAAUACAUUAUGAUAAACUGGUAUCUCGCUAGCCCUUUCUGAGACCGCAAAACAUAAAUGCAGGGCACCUCGGAAGAACAAGGACUGACUAGACAUUGUAAUUCAUGGUAAAAGAGAUCCAGUCAUACUCAUACUCAAUAUCAAUUAAUAACCAAGCAUACAAAUGACGGAAGUGCUCUCUAACUUGUGCCUUUUUAUAAGAAGAGGAUGACUCAACAGUAAAAUAAAAUAGAUAGGCCCUUCACAGAGGGAAGCAUUGAAUUACACAGGUUCUAGAGCUCGAGCUUUUAAAACAGGGAUGAAUCAAAAUUUUGGGUGGUAUGCUUUCAUUGUCAACAUAACAACUAAGAGAUCUCAAUAUCUUCCAUGGUAAAUACAUUAUAGGCGGUUCCCAAACAGAAUAGUAAAGUUUUUACUCCCCCUCCACCAAUCGAUCACAUUCCAUGCCAGGCCGAAUCCACGGGUACCGUCCAUACAAACAACUAUCCUGGGGGAGUUUUGUUUCAUUAAAUUUGAUUUUACUUUUGAGCAUGGAACUGGGCAUCCCGAUUACCAGCCACUUUCUCAUGAAUGAUAGUGAAUCAACACAUAUCUUGAGAAUGACCCACCUUGCAUGGAAGAUACUAAUAGCCCCUAGCCACUACAUGAGCGAUUCGGGCAUACAAAACAGAAUAUUUAUUUGAAGGUUUAGAGUAUGGAACCUGCAAAUUUACUUGGGACGAUAGGUGAAUACCGCAUAUAGGUAGGUAUGGUGGACUCAUAUGGAACAACUUUGGGUUUUUGGAAAUGGAUGCACACGCAGGAUUCCCGCUUAGUCCAAGUGGAGGCUAGCAAGAUUCUUUCGCCAAUAAUUUUUAUUAAUUACAGAAACAUUAUCCGUAAAUUUUCAGGUCAAUCCGAGAACUUUUAUUUCUGCACAAAAAUAACACCAAGUCAAUUCCGUUGAAAACAACGUCAGUCCGGGUUAGUUCCAUUCAAAUCAUGCAAAUUAGAGUCCAAAACAAGGGCAAAAGAGUUUGCAAAAGUAGAUACGUUGGAGACGUAUCAGGAUGCCCAAGGCACCCCAAGGUAAUAUUAUAAGGAAUACUCAAGCGUCUAAGCUUGGGGUGUUGGAAUUAUGCCCUAGAGGCAAUAAUAAAUAUAGUUAUUAUUAUAAUUCCUGUAUCAAGAUAAUCGUUUAUUAUCCAUGCUAUAAUUGUAUUGAAUGAAGACUUAUAUACAUGUGUGAAUACAUAGACAAAACACUGUCCCUAGCAAGCCUCUAGUUGGCUAGCCAGUUGAUCAAAGAUAGUCAGUGUCUUCUGAUUAUGAACAAGGUGUUGUUGCUUGAUAACUGGAUCACGUCAUUAGGAGAAUCACGUGAUGGACUAGACCCAAACUAAUAGACGUAGCAUGUUGAUCGUGUCAUUUUGUUGCUACUGUUUUCUGCGUGUCAAGUAUUUGUUCCUAUGACCAUGAGAUCAUAUAACUCACUGACACCGGAGGAAUACUUUGUGUGUAUCAAACGUCGCAACGUAACUGGGUGACUAUAAAGAUGCUCUACAGGUAUCUCCGAAGGUGUUCGUUGAGUUAGUAUGGAUCGAGACUGGGAUUUGUCACUCCGUGUGACGGAGAGGUAUCUCGGGGCCCACUCGGUAAUACAACAUCACACACAAGCCUUGCAAGCAAUGUGACUUAGUGUAAGUUGCGGAAUCUUGUAUUACGGAACGAGUAAAGAGACUUGCCGGUAAACGAGAUUGAAAUAGGUAUGCGGAUACUGACGAUCGAAUCUCGGGCAAGUAACAUACCGAAGGACAAAGGGGAUGACAUACGGGAUUAUAUGAAUCCUUGGCACUGAGGUUCAAACGAUAAGAUCUUCGUAGAAUAUGUAGGAUCCAAUAUGGGCAUUCAGGUCCCGCUAUUGGAUAUUGACCGAGGAGUCUCUCGGGUCAUGUCUACAUAGUUCUCGAACCCGCAGGGUCUGCACACUUAAGGUUCGACGUUGUUUUAUGCGUAUUUGAGUUAUAUGGUUGGUUACCGAAUGUUGUUCGGAGUCCCGGAUGAGAUCACGGACAUCACGAGGGUUUCCGGAAUGGUCCGGAAACGAAGAUUGAUAUAUAGGAUGACCUCAUUUGAUUACCGGAAGGUUUUCGGAGUUACCGGGAAUGUACCGGGAAUGACGAAUGGGUUCCGGGAGUUCACCGGGGGAGCAACCCACCCAGGGGAAGCCCAUAGGCCUUGGGGGUGGCGCACCAGCCCUUAGUGGGCUGGUGGGACAGCCCAAGAAGGCCCUAUGUGCCAUAGGAAGAAAAUCAAAGAGAAAAGGAAAAAAAAGAGGAGGUGGGAAAUGGGGGAAGGACUCCUCCUUCCAAACCUAGUUGGACUCGGUUUGGAAGGGGAGGGUUCCCCCCUUAGGCUCGGCCGACCCCCUUGGGAGUCCUUGGACCCCAAGUCAAGGCUCCCCCUCCUCCCCCUAUAUAUACGGAGGUUUUAGGGCUGAUUUGACACAACUUUGCCACGGCAGCCCGACCACAUAUCUCCAUGGUUUUACCUCUAGAUCGCGUUUCUGCGGAGCUCGGGCGGAGCCCUGCCGAGACAAGAUCAUCACCAACCGCCGGAGCGCCGUCACGCUGCCGGAGAACUCUUCUACUUCUCCGUCCCUCUUGUUGGAUCAAGAAGGCCAAGAUCAUCGUCGAGCUGUACGUGUGCUGACGCGGAGGUGCCGUCCGUUCGGCACUAGAUCGUGGGACUGAUCGCGGGACAAUUCGUGAGACGGAACGAGGGACGUGAGGACGUUCCACUACAUCAACCACGUUCACUAACGCUUCUGCUGUACGGUCUACAAGGGUACGUAGAUCACACAUCCCCUCUCGUAGAUGGACAUCACCAUGAUAGGUCUUCGUGCGCGUAGGAAAAUUUUUGUUUCCCAUGCGACGUUCCCCAACAGUGGCAUCAUGAGCUAGGUUUAUGCGUAGAUGUCUUCUCGAGUAGAACACAAAAGUUUUUGUGGGCGGUGAUGUGCGUUUUGCUGCCCUCCUUAGUCUUUUCUUGGUUCCGCGGUAUUGUUGGAUUGAAGCGUCUUGGACCGACAUUACUCGUACGCUUACGAGAGACUGGUUUCAUCGCUACGAGUAACCCCGUUGCUCAAAGAUGACUGGCAAGUGUCAGUUUCUCCAACUUUAGUUGAAUCGAAUUUGACCGAGGAGGUCCUUGGAUGAGGUUAAAUAGCAACUCAUAUAUCUCCGUUGUGGUGUUUGCGUAAGUAAGAUGCGAUCCUACUAGAUACCCAUGGUCACCACGUAAAACAUGCAACAACAAAAUUACAGGACGUCUAACUUGUUUUUGCAGGGUAUGCUUGUGAUGUGAUAUAGCCAACGAUGUGAUGUGAUAUAUUGAAUGUAUGAGAUGAUCAUGUUGUAAUAGAUAAUAUCGACUUGCACGUCGAUGGUACGGCAACCGGCAGGAGCCAUAGGGUUGUCUUUAUACUAACGUUUGUGCUUGCAGAUGCGUUUACUAUUUUGCUAGGAUGUAGCUUUAGUAGUAAUAGCAUGAGUAGCACGACAACCCCGAUGGCGACACAUUGAUGGAGAUCAUGGUGUGGCGCCGGUGACAAGAAGAUCAUGCCGGUGCUUGGUGAUGGAGAUCAAGGAGCACGUGAUGAUGGCCAUAUCAUGUCACUUAUGAAUUGCAUGUGAUGUUAAUCCUUUUGUGCACCUUAUUUUGCUUAGAACGACGGUAGCAUUAUGAGGUGAUCUCUCACUAAAAUUUCAAGACGAAAUUGUGUUCUCCCCGACUGUGCACCGUUGCUACAGUUCGUCGUUUCGAGACACCACGUGAUGAUCGGGUGUGAUAGACUCAACGUUCACAUACAACGGGUGCAAAACAGUUGCGCACGCGGAACACUCGGGUUAAGCUUGACGAGCCUAGCAUGUGCAGACAUGGCCUCGGCACACAUGAGACCGAAAGGUCGAUCAUGAAUCAUAUAGAUGAUAUGAUUAGCAUGGGGAUGCUUACCACUAAAACUAUGCUCAACUCACGUGAUGAUCGGACUUGAGCUAGUGUAAGUGGAUCAUGAACCACUCAAAUGACUAGAGAGAUGUACUUUUUGAGUGGGAGUUUAGCGAGUAAUUUGAUUAAGUUAAACUCUAAUUAUCUUGAACAUAGUCUAAGUCCACUUUGAAUAUAUUUGUGUUGUAGAUCAUGGCUCACGCGACAGUCACCCUGAAUUUUAAUACGUUCCUAGAGAAAGCUAAGUUGAAAGAUGAUGGAAGCAACUUUGUAGACUGGGCUCGUAAUCUUGACCUAAUCUUACAAGCUGGGAAGAAGGAUUAUGUCCUUAAUGCUGCGCUAGGAGAUGAACCACCCGCUACGGCUGAUCAGGAUGUUAAGAACGCUUGGUUAGCACGUAAGGAGGACUACUCAGUAGUUCAAUGUGCAGUCUUGUAUGGCUUAGAACCGGGACUUCAACGUCGCUUUGAGCGUCAUGGAGCAUUUGAGAUGUUCCAGGAGUUGAAGUUUAUCUUUCAUAAGAACGCCCAGAUCGAGAGGUAUGAGACCUCCGAUAAAUUCUAUGCUUGCAAGAUGGAGGAGAACUCGUAUGUCAGUGAACAUGUGCUCAAAAUGUCUGGGUACUCAAACCGUCUAGCUGAGCUGGGGAUUGAACUCCCGCAAGAAGCUAUCACUGACAGAAUCCUUCAAUCACNNNNNNNNNNNNNNNNNNNNNNNNNNNNNNNNNNNNNNNNNNNNNNNNNNNNNNNNNNNNNNNNNNNNNNNNNNNNNNNNNNNNNNNNNNNNNNNNNNNNAGGCAAUAAUAAAUAUAGUUAUUAUUAUAAUUCCUGUAUCAAGAUAAUCGUUUAUUAUCCAUGCUAUAAUUGUAUUGAAUGAAGACUUAUAUACAUGUGUGGAUACAUAGACAAAACACUGUCCCUAGCAAGCCUCUAGUUGGCUAGCCAGUUGAUCAAAGAUAGUCAGUGUCUUCUGAUUAUGAACAAGGUGUUGUUGCUUGAUAACUGGAUAACGUCAUUAGGAGAAUCACAUGAUGGACUAGACCCAAACUAAUAGACGUAGCAUGUUGAUCGUGUCAUUUUGUUGCUACUGUUUUCUGCGUGUCAAGUAUUUGUUCCUAUGACCAUGAGAUCAUAUAACUCACUGACACCGGAGGAAUACUUUGUGUGUAUCAAACGUCGCAACGUAACUGGGUGACUAUAAAUAUGGUCUACAGGUAUCUCCGAAGGUGUUCGUUGAGUUAGUAUGGAUCGAGACUGGGAUUUGUCACUCCGUGUGACGGAGAGGUAUCUCGGGGCCCACUCGGUAAUACAACAUCACACACAAGCCUUGCAAGCAAUGUGACUUAGUGUAAGUUGCGGGAUCUUGUAUUACGGAACGAGUAAAGAGACUUUCCGGUAAACGAGAUUGAAAUAGGUAUGCGGAUACUAACGAUCGAAUCUCGGGCAAGUAACAUACCGAAGGACAAAGGGCAUGACAUACGGGAUUAUAUGAAUCCUUGGCACUGAGGUUCAAACGAUAAGAUCUUCGUAGAAUAUGUAGGAUCCNNNNNNNNNNNNNNNNNNNNNNNNNNNNNNNNNNNNNNNNNNNNNNNNNNNNNNNNNNNNNNNNNNNNNNNNNNNNNNNNNNNNNNNNNNNNNNNNNNNNGUACUUUAAGAUCUUCAUCGUGAUUCCUGUAAAAACCUCGUGGAAGAGCGUUUUCUAGGAAUUCCCGCUUAGCUUUCAACUUAGCGGUCCUCUUAUUUUCAUUGAUAGAUAUUUGGACAUAUUUAGUAGUCUCAUUAAACUCAUGCUUUGGUGUCAAAGUUUUACCUUUAAGGGUUUCUACAUCAAGAGCAAUUCUAUCCAUGUUCCUAGCCAAAUCAUCGAUCUUAUGCAACUUUUCCUGUACCUAGUGUUGAAAACUUUUUGAUAAUUAAUAAAAUAUUAGUGGAGGACUGAUAACCCAGAAGUAUAGGGGAUCACAACAGUUUUCGAGGGUAGAGUAUUCAACCGAAAUUUAAUGACUCGACUCAAGGGGAAGCGAAAGAAUAUUCUCAAGUAUUAGCAGUUGAGUUGUCAAUUCAACCACACCUAAAAGAUUUAAUAUCUGCAACAAAGUAUCACUAGCAAGGUAGUAUGAUAGCAACAGUAGCAACAGUAAUCAGUAGCAGCAAAGUGACAGCAGUAGCAACAGAGUAACAGUAGCAGCCGUGAUAGCAGUAGCGGCAAAGUAACGUAGCAAGGACCAGUAGGAAAAACUCGUAGGCAUUGGAUCGAUGAUGGAUGAUUAUGCCGGAUGCUAUUCAUCAUGUAACAGCUAUAACAUGGAGAGAUAAGUAACUAGCUCUCGUUCGUCAAUCUAAUGUAGGCAUGUAUUCCGUAUGUAGUCAUACAUGCUUAGGGAAAAGAACUUGCAUGACAUACAUUGUCCAUCCCUCCCGUGGCAGCGGGGUCCUAAUGGAAACUACGUGAUAUUAAGGUUCUCCUUUUAAUAAAGAACCGGACCAACACAUUAAGACUUGGUGAAUACAUGAAAUCCUCAUACUAUGGUCAUCUCCGGGAGUGGUUCCGGCUAUUGUCACUCCGGGGUUGCCGGGUCAUAACACAUAGUAGGUGACUACAACUUGCAAGAUAGGAUCUAAAACACACAUAUAUUGGCGACAACAUAAUAGGUUCAGAUCUGAAAUCAUGGCACUCGGGCCCUAGUGACAAGCAUUAAGCAUGGCAAAGUAGUAGCAACAUCAAUCUCAGAACAAAGUGGAUACUAGGGAUCAAUCCCCGUCAAAACUAACUCGAUUACAUGAUAGAUCUACUCCAACCCAUCACCGUCUAGCAAGCCUAUGAUGAGAUUACUCACGAACGGUGAAGGGCAUCAUGGAAUUGGCGAUGAAGGAAGGUUGAUGAUGACGAUGGUGACGAUCUCCCCUCUCCGGAGCCCGAAACGGACUCGAGAUCCGCCUUCCAGAUGAAGAACAGGAUCUGGCGGCGCCUCCGUAUCGUAAAACGCGAUGAACUCUUCUCCCUGAUUUUUUUUCGGGCAAGACGGACUAAGUAGAGAUGGAUUUGGAGGCGGUGGAGCGUCGUGGGCUUUACAAGCCUGCCACACGCGACCAGGGGGGCUUNNNNNNNNNNNNNNNNNNNNNNNNNNNNNNNNNNNNNNNNNNNNNNNNNNNNNNNNNNNNNNNNNNNNNNNNNNNNNNNNNNNNNNNNNNNNNNNNNNNNCUAAGAUAAGAAGAAGUAAGAGACUAGAGAGAGAGAGAGAGAGAGAGAGAGAGUUAUCCAUCUAUGUACUAACUACGGACCCGUAGGUUGGUGGUGAACUACUCACACAUCACCAUGGGAGCAACAAGGUUGAUGUAGAGGUCCUCCGUAAUCGAUUCCACCUCUGGCAAGGCACCAAAAAAGGGCUCCAGAUGGCCUCACAGUGGAACAUAUACUUGCGUCGGUGAAAAAAGUGUUUCGGGGUGCUCCCUAGGUUUUUUGGUAUUAAUGUGAAUUUAUAGGACGAAGAGGUACGCCAGGAGGUAGCCAAGGGGGGCACGAGGCAACAAGGCGCAACCACCCCACCUGGGCACUCCCUGUUGUGUGGUGCUCCCCUCGUGAGGCCUCUGGAGUCCUUCCAAAUCUUCCAAGUCUUCUUUUGGUUCAGAAAAAAUCACCAAAAAGUUUCAUGGCAAUUGUACUUUGUUUGGUACUAUAAACGUGAAAGCUAAAAACACGCAAAAAACAACAAGUGGCGUUGGGCAUUGGGUUAAUAGGUUAGUGCUAAAAAAUAAUAUGAAUUGGUAAUAAAUACCCAAAAUGUAUCCUAGAAUGAUAAUAUAGUAGCAUGGAACAAUAAAAAAUUAUAGAUACGUUGGAGACGUAUCAGCAUCCCCAAGCUUAAUUCCUGCUCGUCCUCGAGUAGGUAAAUGAUAAAAUAUGAAUUUUUGAUGUGACAUGCUACCCAACGUGUAAUCUAUUGCAGGUUUGAUCAUUGACAGACGAUGAAUUAACAAAUAUCAACAUUGCAAUGCUUAUAAACACAAGCAACAUAGUCAUCAAGUUUCAAAGCAUACAAUUCUUAUUGAAUGUUCACCCCUAUUCAUUUAUAAAUAUAGCAUGGCUCCGUCCUCACCACAUAAAUACAAAUGUUAAGAACCAUGGUGUCAAGGCAAUUGGAUCGUACUUUUUAACGCACUUUAGCUUCUUAUUACUUGCGUAAUAUAUGAGCGUGAACCAUGGAUAUAGCAUAAGGGUGGAAUAAAAUACGGUGGUAGGUUUCAAUGGGGUGAAAGUGGAGAAGAAAGUAUCACAUCAACUAGGUGUAUCAACAGGCUAUGGAGAUGCCCAUCAAUAGAUAUCAAUGCAAGGAGUAGGGAUUGCCAUGCAACAGAUGCACUAAAGCUAUAAGUGUAUGAAAGCUCAAAUGAAGCUAAGUGGGUGUGCGUCCAACUUUCUUGCUCAUGAAGACCUCGGGGCAUUUGAGUAAGCCCAUCAUCGGAAUAUACAAGCCAAGUUCUAUAAUGAAAAAAAUCCCACUAGCAUAUGGAGUGACAAAUUAGGAGACUCUCUAUAUGAAGAACAUGGUGCCACUUUGAGGCACAAGUGUCAAAUAAGAGGUAGUAGCACUGUCCCUUCUCUCUUUUUUCUCAUUUAUUCUAUAUUUUUUCUUUUCCUUUAUUUUUUAUCUUUUCUUCUUUCUCUAUUUUUUCUCCCUUUUUUAUUUUCUUUAUUUUUUGUUCUGGAGUUUCAUCCCGACUUGUGGGGGAUUCAUUGUCUACAUCAUCCUUUCCUCACUAAGACAGUGCCCUAAUAAUGAUGAUCAUCACACUUUUAUUUACUUACAACUCAACAUGAAGACUGAUAUGAUAUGGCUCUAUAUGAAUGCCUCUGGUAGUGUACCAGGAUGUGCAAUGAUCUAGCAUAGCAAAAUAUAUCAAAAAAUGUAAAUAUCAUGCUAGCUAUCUUACGAUAAUGCAGAGCAAUAAUGACAAUGGAAGUAUAGUANAUAUGAAGUGAUGAUGGAANNNNNNNNNNNNNNNNNNNNNNNNNNNNNNNNNNNNNNNNNNNNNNNNNNNNNNNNNNNNNNNNNNNNNNNNNNNNNNNNNNNNNNNNNNNNNNNNNNNNAAUUGAAACCAAUUAGUACACCCAAGUACAAGCCACUUCGAAUCAUCAAGAGAAUAACCAAUCCUAUCUAUACUACAUCAUAGUCGAUCUCUAAAAUACUAUGUUGGCAUUCAAGACAAACCAUUAUAAGCUCUCAACUAGUUAAGCAUGGCAUCCGAAACUAUGAUCUCUAAGUUGUCAUUGCAAACAUGGUUCUCUCACAACAAAAGCUGAAUCUGGGUUGACAAGCUAGUCAUAUUUACAAAAAAAAAA